rnacentral:rRNA from 1 species
AUGGCAAUAGAACGAACAACUAGCAAAGCAAAGAUAGAAAUGAUUUCGAGGGGUGGUCAUCUUGCCUGCAAGGUUCUCAGAGUUGUCGAAAGCUUGAUCCUCGUAAGCGUACUCAACAGGUUCCUCGUUCACGAACUCGUCUCCCGGCUCUACCCAAGACAAGAACACAAACAAUGGAACCACAAUCAAUCACGGGAAAUGCACAAGCAACAUGAUGCAAUACAUGAAUGCUAUGCGCGAUAUGAAAUGCGAUGCAUAUGCGUGCUCCGGAAGGAAAAAGAUGAACAAGACAGUAAUUUGGCAAACCAAGCAUGCCACUGGAAAGAUGAGAUGAUUUCGAUCGGAAUCGAUAUAAAGAUCACCGGAAACGGAUGCAUGGUUUGCAAAUGGCAAGCAAAACAAGAAUGA